rnacentral:rRNA from 1 species
UACGUAGGGGGCAAGCGUUGUCCGGAUUUAUUGGGCGUAAAGAGCGUGUAGGCGGCCGCACAGGUCCGUGGGGAAAACUGGAGGCUUAACCUUCAGACGUCGAUGGAAACCGUGCGGCUAGAGUCCGGAAGAGGAGAAUGGAAUUCCUGGUGUAGCGGUGAAAUGCGCAGAUAUCAGGAAGAACACCCGUGGCUAAGGCGGUUCUCUAGUACGGUACUGACGCUGAGACGCGAAAGCGUGGGGAGCGAACAGG